GCUGUAGCUCAGUGGUGGAGCACUUAUUUCCUUCAAAGAUUCCUUACACGCCUUUCACCAUAAGGUCACAGGGCAGGUUAUAAUAAUAAAAAAAUACAAAUUAAAAAAUCAAAUUAAAACAAGCAAACAUGCAGAACCAAUCCAAAUGAGAUGGAACAUUUUGGAUGCAGAAAAUCCCAGGUUCAAACCCUGGCAUCUCUA